GACGAACGCUGGCGGCGUGCUUAACAAAUGCAAGUCGAACGGAGUGGCGAACGGGUGAGUAACACGUGGGUGAACUGCCCGGCACUUCGGGAUAAGCCUGGGAAACUGGGUCUAAUACCGGAUAGUGGGGGCUGGGACCGCGGCCUAUCAGCGUGUUGGUGGGGUAAUGGCCUACCAAUGCGGCGACGGGUAGCCGGCCUGAGAGGGUGGACGGCCACAUGGGGACUGCGACACGGCCCAGACUCCUACGGGAGGCAGCAGUGGGGAAUAUUGCACAAUGGGCGGAAGCCUGAUGCAGCGACGCCGCGUGGGGGAUGACGGCCUUCGGGUUGUAAACUCCUUUCACCAUCGACGCGGUAGAUGGAGAAGAAGCACCGGCUAACUACGUGCCAGCAGCCGCGGUAAUUC
rnacentral:rRNA from 1 species